rnacentral:rRNA from 1 species
GUCUAUGGCCAUGCUACCCUGAACAAGCCAGAUCUUGUCUGAUCUCAAAAGCUAAAUAGGGUUGGGCUUGGUUAGUACUUGGAUGGGAGACCACCUAGGAAGACCAGGUGCUGUAGGUG